rnacentral:misc_RNA from 1 species
UGGAACUAGGGCUACGGCACC